CCGCAGGCACGCACGCACUAAACACGCCUCAUCGGUGACGUUCUCGUCUCUCUCCCUCUCUCUCUCUCUCGACAUCCCCAGGCUGCGUGAAUUCGUGAUUUGUUUGGCCCUCUUGCGCUCAGUCAGUGGUGUGUUUGCCUCCUCCUCGUAGCUGCGCCGAUUCGAGUAACCUGCACCUCCUCGCGGACACUCUACCUACUUUGACGCGAUGCCCACCUCAGCGGUAGCAAGGAUGCGCGCCCGCAGCCGCCAGAGCCAGCAGCGUCUGACCGAGGACGAGAAGCUGAGGCGCCGCGAGGAGCGGGAGAACAAGAAGUCGGCCGUCCCACAGUGGCUCGUCUGGAGCAUGAUCGUCAUCGUUGUCGGAUCGUCGCUUGUGAACAUAUACUUCUCUGUGGCGCAAUCACCCAAAAUGAAGGACUAGGCUGCUGGCGCUUCCGAGUACCUGCGUCCUCGCUGCUCCGCUUCGUCUCCUGUGUUGUCUGUGGCUGUACAUGGAUUUGUGCCCGUAUGCUUGGUUUGCUUUCACGUUUGCGGCAAUCGGCUAUGGAUGCGACGGACGCGCCUUUGUGGCAGUGCCGAUACAGCGAUGGUGAGUCCUACUGUUGCUGCGCUACACGUCCCGCCACCUGCUCUGCUGGUGCCCACUCGGCGUUGCGGGAUACGUGAACGCGUGUGUCACCGAGAUCGUGGCACAGCGCGUACCACGAUUGCGGAUUAGUAAUUCAUUCUCUUCUCAUUGCUCGGACACAACCGCUGAGUUUGGACGCAUAGGUCUGCGAGAUGAGAGCGUCUUGCUUUUCGUGCUGCUCCUUGCGACGGCGGCCGGGCGCCUCAUGAGCAUGCCGUUCAACGAACUUUUUUUUUCUCGCGCUCCCCGCACGCCUUGAUGACGGCGGGCCGAUGAGGAGGGGGUGAGGUGGUGACCAGCUCAGCGCGUGGCUUCACCCGGCCCAAGUACCCUCCACCAUCUCUGCGUGGGAGGAAGCCAAGCAAGCCGCCCCGCAUUUCUCCCUGCGAAGUGCGCAACCACCGGUGGUGGUGGCAGGGCCAAGCACGCGCGACGUGGGGCGUGGAGGGCGAUGCAUGGCUGCUGAUGUCGGUGCGCCGGCCCGGGGUGACGCGGCGCCGGAGCGACCUGCGACAGUGAACACGUGUGCACCAUCCACAUGAUGGGCAGAGUGUCCGCGUGGCUGGAAGGCAUCCCACCCCCGGCCCUCGCGCAGCCUGCUGGUAUGCGGGUGUGGGUGGAGUUUGAGGCGUAGGCCGUGCUCUCGGAUGGCUUGGUCGGCGCGUUUGGCGUGGCGCGUGUGUGCUGCUGCACCGCACCAGGUAAUGUGGAGGGGGGAGGGGGGCUCUGACCGGCCGUGCGGGAAAUGCGGAGUAGAAGACGUGCCGUACGGGAGAAUGUGGGCACCUUGAGAGCAAGAAGCAGGAGGCCGCCCCGAAAUCCCCUGCGCUACACUUGGUAGUGAGCUGGGCUUUUUGUUUCUCACUACCUUGUCUACGCGUGCAGCAGAACUGGAGAAAGCGACUAUGCCGAGUGAUGUCGAAGAGCUUUCGACGAGCAGGGCUCUGACGGAGGCAGUGCAAAAAAAGAGGGGCGUAUGUGGACAACGAUGGGCGCGUCUGCGGUGGUUUCUCUCUAGAUGGGUGUUUGCUCUGCUCUCUCUUUGUAUCUUCGCGCAUCACGCGUUGCACGCUGUCGAUAGUGUCGCUUCAUCCCCCGUUCCACAUCCCGCGCUGCACGUUGGGCCGCCUACGUCCCCUUCAGCGGCAUGGGGGAUGUGAGCGCAGUAGCUCUGCGCGCCCCAUCUGUUGCUCCAGAGACCUUUGGUGCGUUCUGGAAGCGAAAGCAAAGAAACAUGAGGAAACGGUAGAGUGUAGCAUACGCCUUGAUGUGCAUGCCAGCCAACGGAUCUACGCGUUUUGAAGCCGCGACUUCCUCUCUUC
rnacentral:misc_RNA from 1 species